rnacentral:misc_RNA from 1 species
UUGAAGGUUAGACAUGCCAAGUGAUGCAUUUGUCCUUGGACAUAGAUAUGAAUUCUUUUUGUUAAUUAUACUUUGAGGAUAGAUAUCCACUCUGAAGGCUUAAGGCGCUUUAGGAAGGUUGUAUGAUACAAAUUUUCCGUUCAUCCUCAGACACGACGUGCAUCACGAGAGUUGGAUCACAGAGUUUGGAGUUGGGUGUGAUAUGAAGAUGGAAGAAGAUUUUGCCCCCACCAAAUGAUAUGUCUCUGGUUGGGGUGAUUAUUCGAAAAGGAUGCGAAAUUCGUGUCCGAACUGGAGGAGGGAUCUCG